CCGGGCGACCGGCGCACGGGUGAGUAACACGUAUGGAACCUGCCCGCAGCAGGGGGAUAAGCGGAAGAAAUUCCGUCUAAUACCGCGUAACAACGUUGGGAGGCAUCUCCCGAUGUUUAAAGAUUUAUCGGCUGCGGAUGGCCAUGCGGCGCAUUAGCUAGUCGGCGGGGUAACGGCCCACCGAGGCGACGAUGCGUAGGGGUUCUGAGAGGAAGGUCCCCCACACUGGUACUGAGACACGGACCAGACUCCUACGGAAGGCAGCAG
rnacentral:rRNA from 1 species